UAGGGAAUCUUCCACAAUGGGCGAAAGCCUGAUGGAGCAACGCCGCGUGUGUGAUGAAGGGUUUCGGCUCGUAAAACACUGUUGCAAGAGAAGAAUGGCAUUGAGAGUAACUGUUCAAUGUGUGACGGUAUCUUACCAGAAAGGAACGGCUAAAUACGUGUCAG
rnacentral:rRNA from 1 species